rnacentral:rRNA from 1 species
AUUGAACGCUGGCGGCAGGCCUAACACAUGCAAGUCGAACGAGUGGCGGACGGGUGAGUAAUGUCUGGGAAACUGCCUGAUGGAGGGGGAUGACUACUGGAAAAGGUAGCUAAUCCCGCAUAUCAUCGGAUGUGCCCAGAUGGGAUUAGCUAGUAGGUGGGGUAACGGCUAACCUAGGCGCCGAUCCCUAGCUGGUCUGAGAGGAUGACCAGCCACAAUUGAACUGAGACACUGUCCCGACGCCUACGGGAGGCAGCAGGGGGGAAUAUGGCACAAUGGGCGCAAGCCUGAUGCAGCCAUGCCGCGUGGAUGAAGAAGUCCUUCGGGUUGUAAAGUACUUUCAGCGGGGAGGCGUUACCCGCAGAAGAAGCACCGGCUAACUCCGUGCCAGCCGCCGCGGUAAUUC